UUCACUUAGGAAUCUUAUUAAAAUCCAGAUUCUAACUCAGUAUGUCUGGAAUGAGGUCUGAGAUUCUGCAUUAUUAAUAAACUCCCAAGUGAUGCUAA
rfam:Pongo abelii chromosome 3.